CUCCACUGAGGGAACAGGAGUAAGAGAAACUCGUCUCAAGUGCUCAAAUAGCUGCAAGAUUUGCGCACUUCGCAUUAUAAAUAAGGUUACUCUGGGGAUGUAGCUAUGUAUCAUGACCCAGCAGCUCUUUGGCUUGUUUGUUUCUUGUCAGAAGGUCUGAUGUCCAGACUCUGUGCUCUUCCAUGUAUGGUCCAGUGGAACUCUCCUUGACAUUAGAUGGACUACAAACAGAUCCAGCAGUUACUGCGACCGCACCUCACAACACCUUACCCUUUAGCUUUAUCCCCUACCCCUGACCCAUACUCUUUACCUCUA